rnacentral:rRNA from 1 species
GAUGAACGCUGGCGGCGUGCCUAAUACAUGCAAGUCGAGCGAACAGACGAGGAGCUUGCUCCUCUGAUGUUAGCGGCGGACGGGUGAGUAACACGUGGAUAACCUACCUAUAAGACUGGGAUAACUUCGGGAAACCGGAGCUAAUACCGGAUAACAUGUUGAACCGCAUGGUUCAACAGUGAAAGACGGUCUUGCUGUCACUUAUAGAUGGAUCCGCGCCGCAUUAGCUAGUUGGUAAGGUAACGGCUUACCAAGGCAACGAGGCGUAGCCGACCUGAGAGGGUGAUCGGACACACUGGAACUGAGACACGGUCAAGACUCCUACGGGAGGCAGCAGUAGGGAAUCUUCCGCAAUGGGCGAAAGCCUGACGGAGCAACGCCGCGUGAGUGAAGAAGGUCUUCGGAUCGUAAAACUCUGUUAUUAGGGAAGAACAAAUGUGUAAGUAACUAUGCACGUCUUGACGGUACCUAAUCAGAAAGCCACGGCUAACUACGUG